rnacentral:rRNA from 2 species
CUGGUGUCAGCCGCCGCGGUAAUACCAGCACCCCGAGUGGUCGGGACGAUUAUUGGGCCUAAAGCAUCCGUAGCCGGUCCUGCAAGUCCUCCGUCAAAUCCACCCGCUCAACGGUUGGGCCGCGGGGGAUACUACAGGGCUAGGAGGCGGGAGAGGCAAGCGGUACUCGAUGGGUAGGGGUAAAAUCCACUGAUCCAUUGAAGACCACCAGUGGCGAAGGCGGCUUGCCAGAACGCGCUCGACGGUGAGGGAUGAAAGCUGGGGGAGCAAACCGGAUUAGAUACCCGGGUAGUCCCAGCUGUAAACGAUGCAGACUCGGUGAUGGGCUGGCUUCGUGCCAACCCGGUGCCGCAGGGAAGCCGUUAAGUCUACCGCCUGGGGAGUACGGUCGCAAGACUGAAACUUAAAG